rnacentral:rRNA from 1 species
CUGCAGCUCGAGUGGUGAUCGAUUUUAUUGAGCCUAAAGCGUCCGUAGCCGGACUAGUAAACCCUUGGGUAAAUUGGGCAGCUUAACUGUCCAAAUUCCGAGGGGACUGCUAGUCUUGGGACCGGGAGAGGUCAGAGGUACUCAAGGGGUAGGGGCUAAAUCCUGUAAUCCUUUGGGGACCACCAGUGGCGAAGGCGUCUGACUAGAACGGAUCCGACGGUAAGGGACGAAACCCUGGGGCGCGAACCGGAUUAGAUACCCGAGUAGUCC